GAAAGGGAAGAAAAAUAAAAGAAAACAACUUUCAAGUGGCUAUUUUCAACUAUUAAUUGCUACAUAAUCAAUAUGAUGAUUUUUAUGUUUCAAUUGUAUUUCUCUAUAUUUUUUUUCUUAAUAUACAUUGCAUAUUUUAUUCUAAAUGUUUUUUUAUACAUCAAUUCUCUUGCGGUUAGUUUUGUUUUUUAAUGCUCAAAUUUCCUCUUUAUCAUGUGUUCUUUGUGGAUUCUAGCCUCACGAGUUCCUAUAGGAUAAAAAUAGUAGUAACAACAAGUGAAGAGGAUUGAAGCGACCAGUGUGUUUGACGAAAUUUUCCAGUGAAAGGAAGAUUGCCAACAAGUUUGUUUUACUUUUUUUCUACAACCAUCUACUGUCAAGCUCAUUGCUUAGCAUGGACGUUAAUCCUCGGUAUUUCUUUUGCCAUGCUAUUCUCUACAUUAUGCUUCAUAUACAAAGGACAUAUAUCUUGGAUCGAAAAUGAACACUCAUUUAGUUGAUUUAGAUAUUGAAUUUUGUCACAUUUGUUUACGUGGUGUUAGAAUGAACCUUAUUUGAACUAUCAUACCAUGAUUCAAUGGUAUUGAAAAAUUGAGGCUAAGUAUGACGCUUUUAUUAAAUUUCUGUUAAAAUCAUGAGUUUGAGGUGUAAUUUAUCCUAUCUAGAACUGCUUACUCUACCAAUAUGUUGGUAUCUCAUAUUGAGAAGUAAGAAAUAAACUCUAAUACUUAUCUUAAUGUGUUCUCUUUAUACAUUGUUGCUAUUCCUGGCCGAAUUCACUAUAUUUUUAUGAAAUUCUUUGAUUUCUACAGGUUUAUUUGCUUUUGGCUAUCAAUAACUCUUGAUAUAUUGGUGCUACUGCUGGCCCGAUUCACUAUAUCUCUAAUUUUCCGUGGAAUGGUGUGAAUUGUAUGCUUCAAGUGAUUUACUGAUACAUUACAUGUGUACAUUUUGAUAUUUUUUGGGGAAGAAAUCGUAGUGGUCAUUCUUUUGUUUGACCAGCAGCUAAGAUUAUCACUUUCAUCCUUAUUGUAAGCUCUCAAAUAUUUAAUCUAUUCAGUAUGUAACUUCCUGAUUUAGUCUGUUGAGUUCAAGUUUUAUGAAUUUGACUCCUUUGUGAUGCAAAGACAUUUGGAAUGCUUACCAAUUAGUACUUUUGGAUCCUUGCUCGCUUUAACAAUUGUACUGUUGAGUGAGGUAAGUGACCGAAAAAAACAAUCAAGUUCUAGAAACAGAACAGAUCAAAUCAUGGAAAAGGAUUGAUUUCAGAUUCUCUGAUUAUCAUUCCUUGAGGUACAAUUUCACAUGCCUAAAGAUGAAAUGAAUAUUCUAUCAUUUGAUUUAGUCGCACACUUGAAAGAUAGCCCAUAAAGUCACGGGAAUAGUUGGUUUAUUGAUACGGACCCUAGGGGAGUGGAAUGGAUUUAGAAAAUGCAUUAUCGACCUCAAAUUGUUUGGAAUCGAGGGAUAGUUGAUGUUGCACACUACUAAUUUUAUCAGGGUGGGUUAUAGUAGAUGGAACACAAUGUUGGGAGCUAUAUUCUGUGCAUGUAUUCACUUUGGGUUGUAUAAAAUGGCUUAUCUUUAUAUUGAGGAGAGAAUUUUCUCGAAAGCAGUUCCUGAGGUAAACUGGGGGAAAUUUCAAUAGAUGAAAUGUUAUGGAGAAUUGACAGAGUCACAACUAUGAAUUGGUCUGUUGUUGCAAUAUCUUGUGUUGUGCUUUGUGUGAGUUGCUAAUAUGUUUUCUUUUUGAAGGUCUUUUUUCUAUCUGGUUUAUUAGUUGCAUGGUCAUGAUGGAUCUUGAUCUCAACAAGUUCAGAAAUGGUAGGAUUUUUGAGGAUCUAGAGGACUUGGUGGUUCAGUUGAUCUUCUAGACCAUUAUAAACUUAGGAAACAUCUUGAUUUUUUAUGUAAGUGAUCAUUACCACCCUCUAUAUCUGAGACAGAAUACCUUAGGAGUGUGGUGGGGGACAGAGAAAUAAGGUGAGGUGAAGGGAUGGAACUAGAUCAGCUGUCCAAAUGCUCCUCCUAUGAGGGACGCAAAUGUGUACACUUGCAUUCCUUUUGGCUUGGAUCUACUCACGGAUGCUUUUCGACUCAGAGAAACAUGAUCUGUUGAUCUUCCAUCGGCAGGUAUUGGGUUACCUUCAGGUGCAUCAAGGCAUAAAAAGAACAAACACAAAGAUAGGUCAAGGAAACAGGAUCCUAACAGUUGAAUUGAUAAGGAUCGCAUGCCAAUCAGGGAUAACAAUAAGGAGAAAAAUGGGAGUAAGAAGCAGAAUCAUCGUCCAGAUUUGUUUCUGAGACAGCAAGCAUAGAAGCCAAUAACUGAUGGCAAUGGAGGUUUUUGUGGUAUCCAGCCAUACCAGAAAACUGAGUUAAAAUAAGGUGAAGCAGUAGUAACAUGUUGAUCACAACAAACUACAAGAUCUACCAGUUGCAGGUUCUCUUUAAAUCCUCUUAGGUGCAGUAUAAUACACAUUUAUGUACGUGUUUUUUAGCAUUCUUCAUUGGUAAAGUACAAGUUGCAUGUCACAGAGGAAGAAGUUCAAGACGCUUUCAUUUACAUGCUUUGAGAUUUCAAAUUGAGGAUGAUUUGAAAUGUAUCAAAGCAUAGUUGGGAUAACUUUGGAAGGUGUAUAAUGUAGUAUUCAAACUGUCAACUUUGUGUAAUUAUAUUUGAAGACUGUAGAUCCCAUUUGCGAUGUAUUUUUUCCCAUCAUGGAGAAGAAAGACCGACACACGUUGCUACUAGAAUCGUUUGGCAUAAAAUUAAAAUUAUAUUAUCUUGAAUUUGCAGA